UAUUUCGCCUCACGCCCCCCUCCCUACAGUCCCUCUGUUCAUAUUUUGAUGUUAUCACCGAUUCACCAUUAAUUAAAAGUGAAAGUACCUUAAUGCCCUCCUCCUUCAAUUGUUUGUCUCUCUGAACUCACCCACUCAUUCUCUUCCUAUUAUCAAACACAUGCAGUGCAUACUUUGUCAUUCCAUUCUCAACAUGUACUUUCAAUAUCAUAUAAAAAACAGUAGGUCAAAACGCAACCCUAAUAAGCUCAUCCCAAACAAGAAACAAAGAGUAGUUAUUCUGACAAAGACCGAUUGGUUCAUUUAAAAUAGUUUCUAUUCUCCUUGUGCAUUCAAGCUCGCAACAACAUGCGAACAAGCUUGUAGUAAGACUUGAUAUUUGGUCAAAAAUUAGGUUGCUUCGAGGCUAAUUUGAAGAAAUUCAACCAAACAGAUUUAGCUUGAGUUUGAGAAGAAUCGAGUCAAGAAGGUCAUCAGAGAAAUCAAAAUUAAGGUCACUGAGGGCAUGGUGGUGACCAAGGAUAAGAAGGGAGAUCCAAUUGAGGAGUUCAUGGUAGGUCAACUUGGAUUCCUAGUGGCACUUCCAAUUGAUUAAUUUAUGUGAGUGAAGGUGAGCGAGGAGGAGAGGGGAUUGGAGAGUAG
rnacentral:misc_RNA from 1 species